GUCCUUUCCUGCUCAUUUUUCCCCACUUCUCUUCUAAUCAUCUCAGGCAAAAGAACUAAGAGGAGAAAGAAGGGAAAUUUCCCCUCCCCAACAGCCGUGAUCUGAAGACAGAAUAGGAAUCAACUCCCCCAGGACAGAGGGGAAAGAGUGCCAAGUAGAGGGUGUCGCAGAGGUAAAGGUCCUGAGGCCAGAAGAAGCUUGGUGUUUGUAAAGAUACACUUGCAGGCUUGAGGCUGAGCUUUCUCGGUUGUGUGGCAGAUGCUCCGAGGAAGAGCCAACAGGACUGUGCUGUAAUCACUGCCAUUAAUAACCAUCAGGAAAAUACCAAACUACAAGGAGGACUGCUGAAUUCCAAAAACCGCUGGUAUUUGAACACCUGUCAGAGCUGCCAGUGCUGAGGGUUUGAUGGAUGGAGAAGGCAAAGAAGAGUGUCUCAUUUAAUCAUUCAUUGUAUCAACUAAUUACCUGGCUUUCAUCCAUCAACACAGGAUGUUUAAAAGGAGGAAGUCCUGAACUUGAGAUCCAGAGGCCUGGGUCUUGGUUCCAAUUCUGUCAUUCAUGACCCUGGGCCAGGCAUUUCCCUCUCUGGGUUUCCCCAGCCUUACAUGCAGAGGUCCUUCAGCAGGCUCCUGUACGCUCCUUGGAGAUCCAUGAAUGGGCCUUAGGGAUCCCUAGAAAUUAUAUUCAGGACACUGUUUGAGUGUGGAGAUGUCUAUAUAUUGAAGAAGAGGGUCCAUGCCUUUCAUCAGAUCCCCAAAGA
ensembl:lncRNA